AGGGUCAACCUGGAACUCUACGCCUCCUACGCCUACCGGUCCAGGUCAUACUACUUUGACCGCGAUGAUGUGGCUUUGAAGAACUUUGCCGAAUACUUUCUUCACCGAUCUCAUGAGGAGAGGGAGCGUGCUGAGAAACGGAUGAAGCUGCAAAACCAACGCGGUGGCCGCAUCUUCCUUCAGGACGUCAAGAAACCAGACCGUGAUGACUGGGAGAACGGGCUGAACGCCAUGGAGGGUGCAUUACACUUGGAAAAAAACGUGAACCAGUCACGACUGGAGCUGCACAAACUGGCUACUGACAAAAACGACCCCCACUUGUGUGACUUCAUUGAGACACAUCACCUGAAUGAGCAGGUGAAAUCCAUCAAAGACUUGGGUGACCACGUAACCAACUUGCGCAAGAUGGGAGCCCCCGAAUCUGGCAUGGCAGAAUAUCUCUUUGACAAGCACACCCUGGGAGAGAGUGAUGACAGCUAAACCUUGGGCUAAUUUCCCCAUAGCUACUGGGUGACUUUCCUGGUCACCAAGGCAGUGGCAUGCAUGUUGGGGUUUCCUUUGCCUUUUCUGUAGGUUGCACCAAAAUGUCCACUUCAGUUCUUUGAUUUGUACCAUUCCUUCAAAUAAAAACUUGGUACCCCA